GACAGGGGAUGCAAGCGUUACUCGGAAUUACUGGGCGUAAAGCGUCUGCAGGUUUCUUUCCACGUCUGGUGUAAAAGCACGGGGCUCAACCCCGUGUACGUGCCGGAAACGAGAGAGAUAGAGUCAUUCAGAGGCAUCUGGAAUGCUGUGUGUAGGGGUAAAAUCCGUAGAUCCACAGUGGAACGCCAAAAGUUGAAAACAGGAUGCUGGGAAUGUACUGACACUCAGAGACGAAAGCGUGGGGAGCAAAGGGG
rnacentral:rRNA from 1 species